rnacentral:other from 1 species
GGUCACCUGCUGUGUGCGUGAUGGCACGAUGCGUUUUGAGCCAACACCCUCACAACGGGAACGUACCUCAGGUUCCACGGUGAUAGGCUCGCGUAGCCAAGACCCUACGACCGGCGGCGUUCCCACCUGCGAAAGCAGGUUCAAAAACUUCUGACACACGGCACAGCGGGGUAAAA